CAAGGUUAUCUGAAGCUGAAAAGUAGGAUUUUGAUUUGAGUGUCGGUAGUUAAUCUAUCUGUGUCGGUAGUUAAGCUGUAAGCGCACUAUCAAAACUAGCGAGUGUUGCUAUCUCCAGCAUGGGCGUCUUUUAUCCGAAGAGCAGCCUCAUCAAUCCAAGAGAUGCAAGUUCCUAGCUACAGUUCUGAAGGAAGCAUUUUCGAAUUGCCAUACAUUCAAUGAACGAUGGUCGGAUUCUGGUCUCGAGGAAGAAUAUUCAACAAGUGCCAUCCAUGAUGAAUCUGAAGUAGUUGUUUCGGAAAUUCGAAGUCGAGUAAUGGAGAAGAUGAAGCACAGACGGAGUCACAUUUCUGAAAGCCUUUCCUGGGUAUUAUCUCCAUCAACAGGGGAGCUUCAUAUAACCUCAAGGCAGGCCAAACAACGAGACAGAUGAUAAAGAAGAUGAAAAAGAUGAAUUCUUUUCCAUUGGAAGUUGCUUCUCCUUUUAUUCGAGUGCUGCGAGCGAGGAAGCAUUUCUAUCAGCUAAAACGAA